UAGCUAAUCCCUCCGUUCGGAAAUACUUGUCAUCAAAAUGGAUAAAAGGGAUGUAUCUAGACGUAUUUUAGUUCUAAAUACAUGUCUUUUUAUCCAUUUUAAUAACAAGUAUUUUCGGACGGAGGGAGUACUUG
rfam:Triticum aestivum genome assembly, contig: Triticum_aestivum_CS42_TGACv1_scaffold_424702_5BS